UGGUCUAUCAGGAAACGGUCCGUGCUAAGGAAAUGCCCUGCAGGAUGAGUGCCAUCUCCGUAUGACAGAUGACACCACUGGGACAGAGAAGGCUUAAGUACCAGUGACCAGACUUGCACAGAUGCUUCACUGAAACCAACCGACUACUGCUUGUGGAUGGACAUGCUGCCUGGAAAGUUGCUGGGCAUGACA